AGCGGAGCGCGGCUGGAGCCCGCGGCGCGGGUUUGGCGGCCUUGGCGGCUUUGGCCGUAAGGAGCUGCGUGCAGCGGGCUUUUAAAUAAAAGUUUCCUCGGUAGCGCCGCGAGAUCCGUUCUGCGGAAAUGCCUUCGCCGAACAGGAGCACCGCUGUUAAUUCGGUCCUCCGUCACCGCGGCGGCGCUCUCCUCCCGCGCGGCCGCUGGGGCUGUUCGGGUGACUUCCAUCUUGCUGCGACGCCGCAGCCGCUGUUUAAAUACGUUCUUUUACCCCCUGACGGCGUUUUAGGCGUUAACCGACGGAAGGCUCGAAUACCUUCCUGCUUAUUCACGUCGUUUCUUCUGUCGUUAUUUUUUUGCGGGCAGCCGCAAAGGACUCAUCUUUGAGCACUGCCAAUAGACAAAACCAAAGGAGGGCAAACAAGACACAUUUCAGCAUCUGAUUCCACUGGCACUAGAGCCCUGAAUAGUACCAAGAGCUACUGUUUCAGAGGGGGACAACAUAGCUUGUUGGAUCUUCACCUGGGAGAUCAGUGUGCCAUGUAACAACCUUCUCUGCAAUUCAUUUAUCCGCACCGGAACGUAUUUCAGAAGUAUUAAUGAGUCCAACAUGGUUGUGUCAGGAGCUCAGGAGGCUGUUUCCCUAGCCCUUGGUGAAGGUCUGCCUCUCCCACCCAUUGCAGCUGGUGUCAUGUGGAGAUGCUGCUGGAAUCCCUGAAAGGAUCUGCUGUGACACACACAAAUGGUGUUAACCUGUAUCAUUUCAGGAAUCUGCUGAUCAGGAAGCUGCACAAAUUGGCACCGUAUCAUGACUGAAGGAGCUCUAUACUCUCUUACAACAUGGAAGCCAGUGGCCAGGAACAAAGGGACACAGGGAUUUCCUAAGGCCAAACCAUUCUUAAAACCAUACUGUUUACAGAUAUGUGCUUAAGUAAAUUCUGCAGUGAACUUUAAUAAUCAAAAGCAGUUUGAAGGAACAAAAUAUCUGGAGGACUGCUGAUCUAUGACAACAAGAGUUUGACCUGCGGUAGGAACAAAGGCACAGAAUGACAACAGGAGAGGGAGCCAAUGAUUUUGACUUGCUAUUGGGCAAGAGAAGUGAGCAGACCAACAUGUGGCAUUUUAGUUGGGAAGAAACUAGAAUCAAUGGCCAAAUGGCUGUAAAAACCAUGUUUAGAACACAGUGACUGCAUGCUGUUCUGUAGUGUUUUCUCUCUUGUAAUUUCAGCUGUACCUGUUUUACUUGUACUGUUGUCCUGGUACCAAAUAAAACCAUCACUAGCCAUUGCA